CCUACGGGAGGCAGCAGUAAGGAAUAUUGGACAAUGGACGCAAGUCUGAUCCAGCCAUGCCGCGUGAAGGAUUAAGGCCCUCUGGGUUGUAAACUUCUUUUAUAGGGGACGAAAAAAGGGCUUUCUAGCUCGGCUGACGGUACCCUAUGAAUAAGCACCGGCUAACUCCGUGCCAGCAGCCGCGGUAAUACGGAGGGUGCAAGCGUUAUCCGGAUUCACUGGGUUUAAAGGGUGCGUAGGCGGGCAGUUAAGUCAGUGGUGAAAUCUUCGAGCUCAACUCGGAAACUGCCAUUGAUACUAUCUGUCUUGAAUAUUGUGGAGGUGAGCGGAAUAUGUCAUGUAGCGGUGAAAUGCUUAGAUAUGACAUAGAACACCAAUUGCGUAGGCAGCUCGCUACACAAAUAUUGACGCUGAGGCACGAAAGCGUGGGGAUCAAACAGGAUUAGAUACCCUGGUAGUCCACGCCCUAAACUAUGAUUACUCGACAUAUGCGAUACACUGUAUGUGUCUGAGCGAAAGCAUUAAGUAAAUCCACCUGGGAAGUACGACCGCAAGGUUGAAACUUAAAGGAAAUUGACGGCUUGAGAGNGCGAGGACGACACAGGGAGGAGG
rnacentral:rRNA from 1 species